AUGUUUAUUAGUUUUGGUUAUUUGGUAAUGAUCAGUGGUGGAUUUCGUGCUGGUGGUCAGAGCAGCGUGGUCUUAUUUCUUCAAGUCGGCAGUUGCAGGUGAGUUAUCCUCACUAUACUGACAGGGUCUACGACACCAAGGUCGGCCCUUUAUCGGAUGGAAGUCUGGGUAUUGUUUGUUAUGUUAUUGCUUCGCAAUGUUUGCAUCCUGGUAGUUAGGAUGAUAUAUGUUAGAGACCUGGUUAAGGUCGGUAUCCUAGUAUAUAGGAUGAUGCUAUGUUAGAGACCUGGUUAAGGUUGGUAUCCUGGUAUGUAGGAUGAUGCUAUGCUAGUGACCGGUUAGGUCGGUAUCCUGGUUAGGAUAUUGCUAUGUUAUGUGAUAUGCUGGAUCGGUUUGAUUAGUUGUGAGAUGUUAUAUGAUUAUAUGUUUAUGUGCACAUGGUUGUUGGACUGGGGUUGGGUUGAGGCGGGUCCUGCUUUGUGCUGUAGGCCAACAUACCCAGGGCAGACCGGUUAGACCGAAGGCCCGACGAGCGGUCCGGAUAGGCUGAAGGCCCCAAGAGGACAAACCAGACGUGCCGAGGCUCGGAGAGUGGACCAGACAGACUGAAGGCCCGGUGCGGGCGGACCAGUCAUAUUGUAGACUCAGAGAGUGGAC
rnacentral:lncRNA from 1 species